rnacentral:lncRNA from 1 species
CAGAAAUGUAUGCGCCUAUUUUUGACUGUUAAGCUUUAUUUGUAAUCUUCAUAAAAAGAUUGGUAUGCAUAUUAUUACUUCAUAUUUUGUUGUUGAAAAGGUGCAUUUCCAUACUUCUUACUGGAAAUUAUCAUGUCAAACGUCAGUAAAAAUAUAUUAUACCCACAUUUGGCGACUCAUUUCCAUCCAGAUCAAAAUCAUAAAAUCAAAAUGUGUUUAUUAUUUUUAAUUUAAAAUCAGUAUAGUAAACUUGAAAUGGCAACAGAAUCUGUAUAAAUACUGUGAAAUUCUACAAACUUUGUGCAAAAAAAAAAGAUUAAUAUAUGGUUAGAUUUUGGAGCUGAAAACAGCAAUAAUAAAACCUUUCAUCUUAGUGUCGUAUAAUGUUUAAACAAUUCAGUAAACAUAGAAAUACUAUAGCAAAAAUCAACCCUUUACUAAUUAGGACAGGACACGCUUGUUUAAUCAACUGAAAACAAGACAAGCUAUCUAAACAUAAUGUAAUAGCGAUAUAUCAAGCUAUAUUUUGUUUACCGCCAUGUUUAAUAAUUUGAUUUAAAAUAAAUGAAAUUAUAUGCAUACA